GUGUCAGCAGCCGCGGUAAGACGAACCUUGCUAACGUUAUUCGGAAUUACUGGGCUUAAAGGGUGCGUAGGCGGUGCAGCAAGUCGGGUGUGAAAGCCCUCAGCUCAACUGAGGAAUUGCGCCCGAAACUGCUGUGCUUGAGGAAUACAGAGGUAUGCGGAACUUAGGGUGGAGCGGUGAAAUGCGUUGAUAUCCUAAGGAACACCGGUGGCGAAAGCGGCAUACUGGGUAUUUUCUGACGCUCAUGCACGAAAGCUAGGGUAGCGAACGGGAUUAGAAACCCCCGUAGUCC
rnacentral:rRNA from 1 species